rnacentral:rRNA from 1 species
UACGAAGGGGGCUAGCGUUGCUCGGAUUGACUGGGCGUAAAGGGCGCGUAGGCGGUUCGUACAGUCAGACGUGAAAUCCUGGGCUCAACCUGGGGGCUGCGUUUGAUACGUGCGGACUUGAGUGCGGAAGAGGGUCGUGGAAUUCCCAGUGUAGAGGUGAAAUUCGUAGAUAUUGGGAAGAACACCGGUGGCGAAGGCGGCGACCUGGUCCGAUACUGACGGCUGAGGCGCGAAAGCGUGGGGAGCAAACAGG